CAGUAGCGGCGAGCGAACGGGGAGCAGCCCAGAGCCUGAAUCAGUGUGUGUGUUAGUGGAAGCGUCUGGAAAGGCGUGCGAUACAGGGUGACAGCCCCGUACACAAAAAUGCACAUAUUGUGAGCUCGAUGAGUAGGGCGGGACACGUGGUAUCCUGUCUGAAUAUGGGGGGACCAUCCUCCAAGGCUAAAUACUCCUGACUGACCGAUAGUGAACCAGUACCGUGAGGGAAAGGCGAAAAGAACCCCGGCGAGGGGAGUGAAAAAGAACCUGAAACCGUGUACGUACAAGCAGUGGGAGCACGCUUAGGCGUGUGACUGCGUACCUUUUGUAUAAUGGGUCAGCGACUUAUAUUCUGUAGCAAGGUUAACCGAAUAGGGGAGCCGAAGGGAAACCGAGUCUUAACUGGGCGUUAAGUUGCAGGGUAUAGACCCGAAACCCGGUGAUCUAGCCAUGGGCAGGUUGAAGGUUGGGUAACACUAACUGGAGGACCGAACCGACUAAUGUUGAAAAAUUAGCGGAUGACUUGUGGCUGGGGGUGAAAGGCCAAUCAAACCGGGAGAUAGCUGGUUCUCCCCGAAAGCUAUUUAGGUAGCGCCUCGUGAAUUCAUCUCCGGGGGUAG
rnacentral:rRNA from 1 species